CCCCCACUACUGGAAAUAUUUAUGCAAUAUGUAGAUGGGAAGUUUCAUCUAAAAUUGAGAAAAAUAAGAUUAAUCUAUCCAGCAGUCUUCCCCAAACUGCGCAAGAAAAUACAGUUGAAAUACCUUACUUCCAUUGGACCUGGCACGGCGUCUAGGAUUUCCUCUCUCCCAGAUGAAAAUGAAAAAGAAUCCAGGAACAUUAAGAAAGCACCUGAGAAGGAACUUUGUGCUCGAAAGUCACAAUAAUAAUGAGCUGCUGACAGAAAUAUCAUAUGACAAUAACGAAAUUAGCAAUGAACAAAGUGAAAAUGAAGAUGGAAAAUUUAGCACACCAAUAGAAUUACUAGGAGAGCUCCUGAAAGCAAUUUUGAAUGGAAACUACAGUCUCUCAAAAAACCUUUGUCAGAUGAGUAAAUAUUACCUCGAGGGUGAUUACAUUGCAGCUGAGGUAAUCAGACUGACUUCUCUCCAUAGACGUUAC
rnacentral:lncRNA from 1 species